UUAUGCCACUGGGUGACAGAGCAAGACCUUUUCUCCAAAUUAAAAAAGAAAAAGAAAAAGAAAAGAAAAGAAAUGGAGGGGCUGGAUUAUGCAGGUAAACAAAAAAGCCUCCUCUCCACCUUCAUCCUCCUCCUCUAACCAGAGAUACAUCCAUGGGCCCCAAUCUCCCAAGCACCAGUCACCACCAACUUCUUACCCCCAAGAAAGAGAACAGCCUCAGGGGACCCCCCAACCUCAGCACUCUCUCUGGGCCUCUGCAGUCUCACACAACUCCGUAGCUUUCGCAGGGCCGAGAGCCGAGGGACCUGGUUGGGAUCAGGGCCCACCCUUCUGCAAGGCUGGCCCUGACCUUAGGCCAAGUCCCAGCAAUGUAGCACUGUGGGUAGCAUCCAGGCCUCCAAGCAGCAGACAGACCACUGCUAGCAAGGGAUCUGGGUGCGUUUAUUACCAAAGCCUUGGUUUCCUAGCUUGACAAGUAAACAUCCCAACAGAGAAACUACUUUGUAGUGUUGCUGGACACAUUAAUGAAUUAGUGCUAUGUGCCUGGUAGUGCUUUAAAGACAUCAAAACAUCCAAUUCAUAAUAUCCAGAUGAGGUAGGUACUGCUGUUGUUUCCCUUUUACAGAUAAAGAGAGGGUAUCAAAGAGAGGUUAAGAGAUGUGCCUAAGGCCACACAAGUGGCAAAUGUUAGAACCAGGAUUCCAGCCCAGGGAGUCUGGCUCCAGAGUCUAAACUAGUUUUACUAUGCAAAUGAGUGUCUUUACAAUGCAUGUAAAGUCUUCAACGCAAUGCCAGGAACAUAUUAAAAGCUCAAUAAAUAGUAGCUGAUCCUCUUGGCUGCUGGGAUGCCUCAGUAAAGCAGAUGGUGGCCACCCAGUGCUCUGUGUACAAACCUCAUCUCCCUCCUACACCAACAGCCUUAUGAAUCAGGAGUGUGCCUGUCUUGUCCACCUUUGCAUUCCAGCAGGCCCCAGCAUCAUGCCUGUAGCUCUCUGAAAACCUGCGGAUGUAUAAGAUGACACCCAUUUAUCAAGCACCCACUGUGUGUGCCUUUAUCUCAUUCAACCCUCCCACUGCCUCAUGGGCAAGCUGGGCAUUUCAGCAUCUUGGCAAAGGGACACCGCCCUUCCACCAGGAUAUCGGUGGAGGCCCCUGGUCUGCAGCCCAUUCCCCUUCUCUUGCCAUCCCCAUCCAGUCAUUGUAGCAAGGGGCCUUGCACAUAAGUAUGGACACCCCAGGCUGCAUAUUUGAGCUCCAGCCAUGUCCACAUCUCAGUCACAGCUGGCCAUUCUCAGCCAAGGCAUGGGCAUACAAGUGGCCCUAGGGAAGAUGAACCCUGUGCAGGCCCUGGGAGCUAGCAAAGGGGCAUUUGGGCAGAGAAUUAUAGAAAAGGAAGGAUCUGGGGGUCCAGGGGACAUGUCCCUUUUUCCCUGCAGACCUCUUUCCCCAUUGGGGAGCUGCAGCCAGAGUGGGAGCCUCUUGGAACAUAUGACCUUGUCUCUUUGGCCCAGAGCUGAUGUCUUAUGCUAUCCCAAGUGUGAGCUGUUUUGGUCUCAAAAGAAAAGUCCCUUCCUCUUCCCUUCAGGGAAAAAUACUGAAGAGGGCAGGAGACUGGUGGUUUGAGACCUACCCCUUAGAAACCAUGUGAUCCUGUGCCGUGACUGACCUUCCCAGCCUUGUGUGUACAAAAUGAAGACAAACACCUACCUCACCACCCUGUUGGCAGGACUCAAAGGAUGACAAAGUGCCAAGCAAAUCAAUGUUUUCUUAUGGAUAGCCAGGGAGGUGAAUAUAAUUCAGGGGAAACAGCCCUGGGCCUAUGGAAAUGGUCAGUCUGUUCUAGGAAUAAUACCUACCUAAAGGAUGCUGUUAAGGACUGAAUAAGUGUGUGUGCAAAGGCACCUGGCACCCAGGAAGAACUCAAAAACUAUUCAUGGUAGAGGUGGUGGUGCUGGUGACGACCAUUCCUGGUGGUGCUGGUGGUGCCAGGCACCUGCAGAUAUUUGGCUAAAUUACAUAUUUUAAUGAUCACAAUAACCAAAGAGGUGUGUUCCUAUAAUGCAGAUGGAAAAAGCAGGGCCAAGAUCACAGGGUUCGUGAGUGAACAGUGAGGCCGGAAACACACGCCUGUCUGUCUGCAUUCUAUUCCUCUUCCCACCACACUCAGCACCACCUGACUGGCUGUCUUGCAGACUCUGGGGAUAAUUCAUUCACAACACUCUUACCUGCUCACAAUAAGAAGCCUGUUCACAGCACCCAGGCCAGAUCAGCCAUUGAGACAUUUAUACUAGAGAUAGUGGGCCACCUGCUUUGCCAACAGAUACACAAGAGCUCCUUGUGUUCCCGUCCACAUCAACUCGGCUCAUCAAAAAACCCAUCCCAGGGAAAAUGAGCUUGCUGAUAAACCAACUAAGCAUAACAAAAAAUACCAGCAAACUUUGAGGCACUUUACAAGGAAAGUCACACCCAAGUACUUGUUGGACCCAAGAAGACUCAGGUAGCAAGGCAGGGAGUAGCUCACGACAGCCACCCGAACAGUCACUUCUAUUUAGUUCUCGAAAAUAAUGGAAAACAAACUCGGUUUUCACAAGUGGUAUGUUGUGUACACUGAGUCCACAUCAGGUGUUCUUGAAUUCUCUGAUAAAUAAAAACCACAAGCAAUUGUGGCACCACCGGGCUGGAGGGAAGCACCGGCUUGCACCUGUCAUUAGGAGCAGCCUGGGGCCUUAUGGGGCAGACCCUUUUCCUGAACUAGUGGUGUUGGAGUGAACACCUUCCAGGUCCCCAGGGCUCGCUCCUCACCCUGAAAAGAUUAAAUCAUUUAUUUGCAUAAGAAAAUAUCUAACCCAAAUACAGGAGGCACAGGCGGGCACAGGGCGCUGUGGUUACAAUACAAGCAACAUCUGGACCUGCAAACUCAUGAUGCUGCUACAAGAAGUGCGUGCAGGGAAGGUGUUCCACGGCACAGCAGGGGAAACAGAUUUUGUAGAAGAGGUCAAGGUGAGGAUGGAGCCUCAACAGAAUCUUCAAAACCAAAAGGCAAGUUGCAGUACCAGCCGACCCUCCGCCAUGCAGAGACCGCUGCAGACGCUGAAACACCCUCCUCACCGUCAGGCUGGCUUGUCCCCGGGCGUCUGAACAAGCCAACCUGACAGGAUGGGUACUCAGUGGAGGACACUCUCUGAGAAGACUGAGAUGGUGGGGAAACCCACUCUCCAGGGCUGACUUCCCAUGCAGCUAUUUGAAGAAAGAGCUACCCUGGAGAACCUUAGUCACUGCUGCGGUUGUAGAGAAGACCGAGCACAGGAGUAGCUCCUCGCGGAGGAGGGACACAGACCACACUCCCAGCUUCUUGGUGACCUCCAAGGGAACCAGUUGGAACAGCAGCAAAUGCGCUUUUCCUCUGGCUUUUGCUCACCUCGCUGUGCACCCAGCCCAGAUACAUUCCACACUUACUCAUAGAGUAAAGCAAGCCAGGUAUGAGGCAGUUACAAGCUAGCAGUUUUUUAUGUGAUUGAUUCUGUCUUCUCUGGAGAUGCCCCAAGAUUCUCUGGAAACAAUUAGGGCUCAGUAUUUCCUAGCCAAGGAGCAAGCUUCCAGGAAAUGAGCAAGUGAGCCUCCAAUUGUAUAUGUAAAUGUAAAUUGUGUAUGUAGAUGUAAAAACAGCAUGCACGCCCCUCCACCCCCAAGCCUUUUUCAUUUCCAAGCUUUUCUCUAAAUCACCAGGAUCCAAAUACCUCCCACCCAGCACCCAUCCCCACCCUCCUCCUCAGCCUUGGGCCCACAUCUGUCUUCACAAAAGGCGCCUCGCUGGCCUGCACCACAGAAAACAUCCAAGCCCAAGGUACACAGGGUUUGUGUCUAAAGGGUUUUUAUUGGAGAGCCUGUAGUGCUGAAGUGCCACCAAGGAUUUGGAAGGUCACUCUCAGCAGCUGCCACUUCUACCAGGACCAGUGGCGAGCACCUGGCAGAUGGAGCCCGGGUAUUUCCGCGUAAGGCAGAGGAAUCCAGCUUUUCCAUGAGGUUCAGCUGCAGUGGUCGAAAACCCUGUAUGAGCCAGCAGUUCCAGUUCAAAGGUUGAGGGGGCGAACAGCUGCGAGGUGGCUGGGCUCCCGUGAGUCACCACUCAGGCCUGAGUACACCGUGGAGAGGAGAGAUAAAGCAGCCACGGCUGUUCUGUUGCCAGUCCCACCCCUCUGGCAAACAGAUGGGGGAAAACAGAGAAGGAAA